CCUGGAGAAACGGCUGUUUCCAUCAGUGUACACACUGUGGCGGUAUCCCACCAUGCUUCCAGCAUUUGCCACGUGGCCGCCUGUCCUGCAGAAGUUAACUGGUGGAGCAGAUCUCAUGUUGCCGGGUGUAGUGGUAGCUGCUGAUGGCCUUCCUGAAGUAGAGCAAGGAGACUGCUGUGCCGUCACUCUUGUGAUGAACAGGGCACCAGUGGCUGUUGGCACA